AUACGGAGGAUCCGAGCGUUAUCCGGAUUUAUUGGGUUUAAAGGGUGCGCAGGCGGCCAUUUAAGUCAGCGGUUAAAUCGUGGGGCUCAACCCCAUUCUGCCGUUGAUACUGGGUGGCUUGAUUGCGGUCGAGGUUGGCGGAAUUCGUUGUGUAGCGGUGAAAUGCAUAGAUAUGACGAAGAACACCGAUUGCGUAGGCAGCUGACCAGACCGCAAAUGACGCUCAUGCACGAAAGUGCGGGGAUCGAACAGGAUUAGAUACCCUGGUAGUCCGCGCAGUAAACGAUGAAUACUUGUUUUCGGCGAUAUAAUGUCGGAGGCAAAGCGAAAGCAUUAAGUAUUCCACCUGGGGAGUACGCCGGCAACGGUGAAACUCAAAGGAAUUGACGGGG
rnacentral:rRNA from 1 species